GGGGGGGGCGGUGGGGCCUGGCUCUCCCCCGCCGUGGGGCGGCGUGGUUCGGCCCCAUGGCUGCCGUUUUCCUCGUCAUGCUCUACGAGUACUCGCCGCUCUUCUACAUCACCGUGGUGUUCGUCUGCUUCCUCGUCACCAGCGGCCUGGUGCUGGGCUGGUUUGGGUUGGGUGUUCCUGUUAUUCUGAGAAACUCAGAAGAAACAGAAUCCAGCACAAGAGUUUUGAAAAAGCGGAUGAGACAAGUGAAGAAUCCUUUUGGGUUAGAAAUCCCUCAUCCUGCUACAGCUUCAGUAACAAAGGGUAUAACACUGACACCUGAUUGUCUGGAAGACUGUAUUCUUACAUGCUAUUGGGGCUGCAGUGUUCAAAAACUCCACGAAGCGUUGCAGAAACAUGUCUACUGCUUCAGAAUAAAGACUCCUCAGGCAUUAGAGGAUGCUCUGUACAGCGAAUACCUCUAUCGACAACAGUACUUCAUUAAAAAAAAUGACAAGGAAGAAAAAUAUUGUCAGUUAUCAGAAGAUGCUCAAGUUGUCGAUUUUGGCCCGGUGCCUAGAUCUCGCUAUCCAUUGAUAGCAUUGUUGACGUUAGCUGAUGAAGAAGACAGAGAAAUAUAUGAUAUUAUUUCAAUGGUGGCUGUAAUUCACGUUCCUGAUGAGAGCUACAGACUUUCCUGUAGAAUAUUGUAUCAGUAUCUACUUCUAGCUCAAGGUCAAUACCAUGAUCUGAAGCAGCUCUUCAUGUCUGCAAAUAGUACCGCACCAUCUUCAAGCGAUGCGUCCCCUGGUGAGAGAAGCACUGACAGAAGCUUGCUAGAAAAGGCCGGACUGGCUGAAGAUGAACCAGAAUUGCAUGAAGAAAACAGUAAAGACUGUGUUGUCUGCCAGAAUGGCACAGUGAACUGGGUACUCCUGCCCUGCAGGCACGCGUGCUUGUGUGACGGCUGCAUUAAGUAUUUUCAGCAGUGUCCAAUGUGUAGGCAGUUUGUUCAAGAAUCUUUUCCGCUUUGCAGUAAAAAGGAGCAAGAUGAAGAUGAAUCAACCCAUAUCUUGCAAGAUGUUCUUCCUGGAAGAGUUUUUUAAUGGGGAAGAAAUAGAAGAACCGGGUUGUAUGCACCAAGAUUAAAUGUAGAAAACAGACUGUUUAUGGGAGGAUACGUAGCAUUAACUUGUAUGGUUUUGCUUUUUAUUGUUAGGUAAUUUUCAGCUUCCUUAUUUUUCUUCACUCCAUAUGCUCGCAGGAACACUAUACUUAUCCAUGCGAUGUGGACAGAAGUGCGUAGGAUAUCUUUGAAGGAUGUGAUUUUAUUUAUAACUUCUUACUAGUUUUUCAUGGAGUACUAUUGGAGGCUGUUUUGAUUACUAAAUUUAGUAUAUCUACUAAAAAAAGAAUAAAACUUGCAAGUGAAGUUGCACACAGCUCAUUCUAUAUUUAUUGUAUUUAAAAUACUAGAGCAAUAUAUCAUUUUGACUCAGUAUAAUUUAGAAACAUAGCACUUUACAGAAUGUAUCAAAUGAAGGAAAGUAAAUAUUCUUCAUGGUUAAACCCGCGUAUAUUUAUUUUGUAGGUGAAGGCUGGACUGUGACAGGCAUUCAGAAUAUUGUUUCUGGCUGUUUUGAAAGAUUUGUGUGUGUGCGUGCGUGAGGGACCUUAGCCAAAGCCCGUUGGAAUGAGUGGAAAGACUUUUGUUGGUUAUUGUUGGCUUGAACUAAACGUUGCUGAUGCUUUCAAGCCUGAGCUUCUGCUAUGUCAUCUUGAGACACAGACUUUCAAUCUUGUUAGCAAUGGCUGUAAGAACUUGUUCUCCAUGCAAAUGUUAGUUAAUUACUCCACAGAGUUGUUACUUGGGCAGUUUUGUGGUGCUAUUCUUACACGAGUAGCCUGCUUUGGGGAAUUUCCAACUCUUUUUACUUGCAUUGUCAGCUAAAGAAUAGCAGAAAAUUAUUUCUUUUUCCCUGCAAUGGUGUAUUGUCAAAAGCAAUAAAAAUGGCUG